GUGCACACCAUGCCCAGCUCUCCAAGGCUACUUGGUGAGUGUUUGAAUGGUUAGCCUCAGCAGUACCGUGAGAGGGGGCCACCAUCCCAUGUUGCAACAGGAGAUUACGAGGGGCUUAUGUCUCAGUCUACUCCAUGGCUUCUCACACGAUGACUCACUGGACAAGAACACUAGAACAUCAUCAUUUGCCAGAGCAAAGGAGGCUCUGUGGAGGUUCCAGGAAAAGCGCCAGUCCUCAAUUGCUGCUGUUCUCUCUAGCCUGUCCUAGGUUGGAAGCCUUUGAGGAGUUUGGGUAGAAUCACUGAAAUCCAAGUGAUCCCACUAUGUAAAUCCCUCCCUUAGUGUGGGAGAGAGAAUUUUAUUCUCAACCCUCCAAUUAGUUGUGGCCAUUCAGGACUUGUUUACAAAUGAUAGUUGGAGGAGAUACUGACCUAGUACACAGUCAUUUUCUGUACUACAGCUGUUGCUGUAAUCAUUAUCUUUAGAAGGCCGAUGAUUGCUAAAUACAACAAUAAACAUUCUUAAUAUCUUGACA
rnacentral:lncRNA from 1 species